GAUGAACGCUGGCGGCGUGCUUAACACAUGCAAGUCGAACGGUGAACACGGAGCUUGCUCUGUGGGAUCAGUGGCGAACGGGUGAGCAACACGUGAGCAACCUGCCCCUGACUCUGGGAUAAGCGCUGGAAACGGCGUCUAAUACUGGAUACGAACCGCGAAGGCAUCUUCAGUGGUUGGAAAGAAUUUCGGUUGGGGAUGGGCUCGCGGCCUAUCAGCUUGUUGGUGAGGUAAUGGCUCACCUAGGCGUCGACGGGUAGCCGGCCUGAGAGGGUGACCGGCCACACUGGGACUGAGACACGGCCCAGACUCCUACGGGAGGCAGCAGUGGGGAAUAUUGCACAAUGGGCGAAAGCCUGAUGCAGCAACGCCGCGUGAGGGAUGACGGCCUUCGGGUUGUAAACCUCUUUUAGCAGGGAAGAAGCGAAAGUGACGGUACCUGCAGAAAAAGCGCCGGCUAACUACGUGCCAGCCGCCGCGGUAACAC
rnacentral:rRNA from 1 species